rnacentral:rRNA from 1 species
CCUACGGGAGGCUGCAGUGAGGAAUAUUGGUCAAUGGACGCAAGUCUGAACCAGCCAUGCCGCGUGAAGGAAGACGGCUCUAUGAGUUGUAAACUGCUUUUGUACGAGGGUAAACGCAGGUACGCGAAUCUGUCUGAAAGUAUCGUACGAAUCAGGAUCGGCUAACUCGGUGCCAGCAGCCGCGGUAAUACGGAGGAUGCAAGCGGUAUCCGGAUUUAUUGGGUUUUAAGGGUGCGUAGGCGGUCGGAUAAGUUAGAGGUGAAAUGCCGGGGCUCAACUCCGGAAUUGCCUUUGAUACUGUACGGCUGGAGAGGAGGUGCGGUAGGCGGAAUGUGUGGUGUAGCGGUGAAAUGCGUAGAGAU